UCUGACAACAAACAAUCUUAAUCCGUGAUACUGUUCUCAACCUUCGUCAGCUGAAGUCAGCGCUCAUUCCUGCCAACCUUCAGGGACAACCUUCUUCUCCAGGCAGGGUUUAUGUCGCGGACAUCGAUGGAUGACCAGGUUUCACUCAAGUGAACUCCACCGCAUAUGUGCUAGUGGAGCAUCAUCAUGCGAGUGGAGCAAAGGCCACCUCUGGGAUGCUGACCAGCCUUCUCCUGCCCUGGAGGUGUGGGAUGGAUGCUGCAAUACAGCUCCUGCAAGUGACCUCCAUAAGGCAGAAGAUCGUCGGCCAUCUUGUCUUUUGGCACGCCACUCACCGCUAGUGGAACAGCGAACCGUUUGCUCCUCCUCUACCUCUAAGUUGAUCCUAACAUCAUGAAACACUGAUCACCUCCUUCCACUCUCACUUUAGAAGGUCUGUCACAGCUUCUUUGUGUGUGGUGCUCACUAACGUGGACUUUUGUGUCGGCCGGUGUGGUGGGAUGAAGGUCUUGGUGGUGAGUCAACGUGAGUCACCCCCCCGGAUGGAGCCAGGUGCUGUGGUUUCACC